GGUUUGGUCCUGACUUUACUAUCAACUUUAGCUAGACUUACACAUGCAAGUAUCCGCACCCCUGUGAGAAUGCCCCACAGUUCCCUGUUUGGGAACAAGGAGCUGGUAUCAGGCACAACCCACCUACAAGCCCAUGACACCUUGCUUAGCCACACCCUCAAGGGAACUCAGCAGUGAUAAACAUUAAGCCAUAAGUGAAAACUUGACUUAGUUAAAGCUAAGAGGGCCGGUAAAACUCGUGCCAGCCACCGCGGUUAUACGAGAGACCCAAGUUGAUAGACACCGGCGUAAAGAGUGGUUAAGAUUUAUCCAAAACUAAAGCCGAACGCCCUCAGAGCUGUUAUACGCACCCGAGGGUUAGAAGCCCAACCACGAAGGUGGCUUUAAACAAUCCGAACCCACGAAAGCUAUGACACAAACUGGGAUUAGAUACCCCACUAUGCCUAGCCAUAAACAUCGAUAGUAAACUACCCCUACUAUCCGCCCGGGGACUACGAGCAUCAGCUUAAAACCCAAAGGACUUGGCGGUGCUUUAGAUCCACCUAGAGGAGCCUGUUCUAGAACCGAUUACCCCCGUUCAACCUCACCUUUCCUUGUUUCUCCCGCCUAUAUACCACCGUCGUCAGCUUACCCUGUGAAGGACUGAUAGUAAGCAAGAUUGGCAUAGCCCAAAACGUCAGGUCGAGGUGUAGCGUAUGGAAAGGGAAGAAAUGGGCUACAUUCCCUAACAUAGUGAAAUACGAACGAUGCACUGAAAUACGCAUCUGAAGGAGGAUUUAGCAGUAAGCAGAAAAUAGAGCGUUCUGCUGAAACCGGCCCUGAAGCGCGCACACACCGCCCGUCACUCUCCCCAAGCUUACUUAUUCUAAGUACCUAAGACCCUAAAACUGCAAAGGGGAGGCAAGUCGUAACAUGGUAAGUGUACCGGAAGGUGCACUUGGAAAAAU
rnacentral:ncRNA from 1 species